rnacentral:lncRNA from 1 species
UAAAAAGAAGAAAAUAUUAGAAACAUAUUUCUUUGGAAAAUCAAGUUAUCCUAUCUAAUAUUCAAUUAUUGUCUGUAUAAAGUACAGUUUAAAGGGACAGAGAAAACCUACAAGUCUUUAAUAAUCUUCUAGUAUAAUUAGAUGUAAUAAUAAAGCCAAUUUUAGGGAUAAAUCAGGACUUUAAUCAUUUUACUGAGAUAAAUAGGUCCCAAUUUGCAAAUUAAGUGCCACUUAAUUUCAUUUUAAAUGGAUCCAUUUGAAAUUUGUUCAGGUAAAGUGCCUUAUUUUUCUUCAUCAAAGUUUCAAACUCCUCUCUUUCCUUGCUAAGUAUUAGCUGUACUUUUUCUAAAUAUGAGUAGGUAUUGAAUUUCAGCCAGAAGUUAUGGUAAUAUGUUUUUUUCUAAUAAAAAAAAGACAUAAAAAUCCCCUAACUUGCCAUUUUUGAAUACAUGUUAAGCUUGUUAGAAGCAUUGCCAUUUUAGUAUUUUGUCCCUUUAUAGGACUUAAGAUAUUUGAAAGAGAUCUCCAGGUUUUUGGGUGUAGAUCCCAGAAGGCCCAAGGGCUUAAAAAUUAAAGCGGCAGGUGAACAGCUGAGUAACCCCUCUGCUCCAGAAGGUCUAGUAAUACCAGUUUAUACUGGGAUAUUACUGUUAUUAAUACCCUGUAUGAUGUAUAAAGCACUGCACCAAAUUCAAUAAUUAUCAUAGGUAAACCCUGUAAACAUGAAUAUAUUCGGUUGCUCAGUUGGCUCCUAAGGGCUAAGGUGAGGACAGAGGGAGGCACACUUGCGAAAAACAAUGAGAAAAACAGACAUGUAAAAGUGUCUACAAUAUUUCUCAUCUUCUUUUCCUCUUUCCAGCAGAAAUUCCAUCCAAACACAGGAAAGAAGCAGGCCCGGGGGCUUGGAGAUGAUAAAUGGUGGUUCUCAAAGUGUGUUCCCCAGACCAACAACGUCAACAACACCAAGGAGCUUCCUGGAAAUGCAAGUUCUUGGAUCCCACCUAGACCUACUACACCAGAAACUCUGAGGGCCAGCAAUCAGUUUUUAACAAGAUUACCAGGUGAUUCUGAUACAUACUGAAAUUUGAGACCCACUGGUCUAGAAGAACAUGACCCCUGGAGGGAAGACAGACAGGUGGAAAUCAUAAUUCGUUGUGAAAUGGUGGAAUUUGGGAAGAGUUAAUUGCCAUUAAAACACUCACUGUCAUCAGGUUUUCAAAUGUUUCAGGCUUACAGAUUUGUUGCUUCAGUUAAUUAUAACAAAGACCUACACUGGCCAGAGAGGUUAUAGAAAUGAAAGAAGGGACCAUUAUUUAAAAAAAAAAAAAA